GCUUUUUCUGCAUUGGUUUGUGUGUUGUUUGUCUGUCAGUUGUGUGUCUGUUGGUCAGUGUUUUAGUUGAGUCCCUCAGACGUCCUCGCAUGUCCUCACAGGUCCUCACUGGUCCUCACAAGUCCAUAAACAGUCCUGACAAGUCCUCAUAAGUCCUCACAAGUCCCCACAAGUCAUCACAGGUCCUCAUAGGUCCUCACUGGUCCUCACAAGUCCAUAAACAGUCCUGACAAGUCCUCAUAAGUCCGUACAAGUCCCCACAAGUCCUCAUAGGUCCUCACUGGUCCUCACUGGUCCUCACAAGUCCAUAAACAGUCCUGACAAGUCCUCACAAGUCUGCACAACACCUCACAAGUUCUCAGAAGGUCUCACAAGUCCUCACAAGUUCUCACACGCCCUGUAUCAAGAUAAAAUGUGAUGAAAGGAAAAAGAAGUCUCAAUAAAUUACAAAUUGAGAAGCAUAUUCAGCAUUUGGUUUUCGGUUUCACAUAAUCUCUAGAACUGUGUAGCAUAUGUUCAGUGGAUCAACUAAGUUUACUUUAUCACUGAAAGCAGUCAAUAUUUGUCUGCUGAGAUACAGAGACAUUUUUUUGGCGACAAUUGUUAUGGCCAUUCUCAAACAAGUAUUCAGCUGGGAUUUCCUUGAAUGAAAAACAUGGACUUUUCUUGCGUCAUUGAUAGUAGUGGUGU